rnacentral:rRNA from 1 species
UACAGAGGUCUCAAGCGUUGUUCGGAUUCAUUGGGCGUAAAGGGUGCGUAGGCGGCGCGGUAAGUCGGGGGCUCAACCCUCGGAUGCCGGUGGAUACUGUCGGGCUUGAGUACGGAAGAGGCGAGUGGAAUUCCUGGUGUAGCGGUGAAAUGCGCAGAUAUCAGGAGGAACACCAAUUGCGAAGGCAGCUCGCUGGGACGUUACUGACGCUGAGACGCGAAAGCGUGGGGAGCAAACAGG